GGGGAUGCCUAGCUUCGACAGGUUGCUCAUUUAAAAUAAGCAGGUCGACCAUUAUAGUUGUGUCGUUAAACCAUCUAUAAAGUAGAUAACUGCAAACAUUAUCUCAAAGGUAAAAGCUACAUUUGCGCAAGCAUUUGCACCCGCCUGCAUCGCUGUUGCGUAAGCACUGCGGGCACGGCCAGCUUUUGCUUCUGCUGUUGCUUAAUUGCAAACAGCCAUCGAACUGCUAACUCCUAAUAGGCAGAUCUCGGUGUCAAUCAUUAGGAUAGUUUAAGACAUUUUCUUUGGGUGUUUUAAACGAAAGUUUGCCAAAGACGAGUAGUAAAAGUUUUUGUUUGUUUUUCAUUUUGCCGCUUGUAAAAAAUAAAUAAACUAAGCUUGUAGAUUAUUUCAUCUGAACAAUUUUGGACGCGAGUGCAAUUCUCGCCAUCUCCACC
rnacentral:tmRNA from 1 species